GACGAACGCUGGCGGCGUGCUUAACACAUGCAAGUCGAACGGUGAAGCGCCUUCCUUUUUGGUGGGUGUGGAUGAGUGGCGAACGGGUGAGUAACACGUGAGUAACCUGCCCCCUCCUUCUGGAUAACCGCAUGAAAGUGUGGCUAAUACGGGAUAUUCUGGGUCUGUCGCAUGAUGGGUCUGGGAAAGAUAUUGUUUCGGUGGGGGAUGGGCUCGCGGCCUAUCAGCUUGUUGGUGGGGUGAUGGCCUACCAUGGCGGUGACGGGUAGCCGGCCUGAGAGGGUGGACGGUCACACUGGGACUGAGGACCGGCUCAGACUCCUACGGGAGGCGGCAGUGGGGAAUAUUGCACAAUGGGCGCAAGCCUGAUGCAGCCACGCCGCGUGAGGGAUGGAGGCCUUCGGGUUGUGAACCUCUUUCGCCAGUGAAGCAGGCCUGCCUCGUUUGUGGGUGGGUUGACGGUAGCUGGAUAAGAAGCGCCGGCUAACUACGUG
rnacentral:rRNA from 1 species